rnacentral:lncRNA from 1 species
UUUCUACUAGUUCGAAGGUCAUUCAUAAAAUGAGAUAUGAAGGUGUCUAUUAUAAUAAUGCUAAUAUUAAGUGCACAUUGAUCGGGAAAUAUAUAUCUUCCAUUAUCAAAUGCUUUCAUUGAAAUGUGGAAAUUUUCAAGAUCACAUGCACCCUCUUUUGUAGAAACUUUCUCAAUGCAUUCUCUACAAAGUUUAUUGCAAAUCCAACCUGUUACAUAUGCAAGUACAUUUAAUUCAAUGAUAUCACCAUCAAAAUUUAAUGUCUCAUUAUCAGGCCUCUUUGUAUUUUGCACAAUAGUUAACUUGAGUUUUCUUUUCUCAAGAUCCCUUUUUUGCAAUAAAAAUUUAUCAAAGUCAACUUGACAGUUACUAUUAUUUGAAGGUGUUAGAAUCUGAUUGCACAUUAUUUUUAUGUUACACAUAAUACUGUAGAAUUUGAUUAACGUAACCACUUGAUUAUUCCCUGCCAACUAACUCUAGAAUAGCAAACAGUAUAGUAACAAUGUGAUAAGAAAAUAGUAGCAUCAUGACUAUCCGCUAGAGGCGCUGAUUUUCAUGUCGCCAGAUUUUUCAG